UAGAUUUUAGUGUCAAAAGCAUAUUAUUUUUGGAUAAUAAUGGAUUUAAUCUAA
rnacentral:tRNA from 1 species